rnacentral:rRNA from 1 species
GUGAGGAAUAUUGGACAAUGGGCGCAAGCCUGAUCCAGCCAUGCCGCGUGCAGGAAGACGCAUCUAUGGUGUGUAAACUGCUUUUGUACGGGAAGAAACACUCCCUCGUGAGGGAGCUUGACGGUACCGUAAGAAUAAGGAUCGACUAACUCCGUGCCAGCAGCCGCGGUAAUACGGAGGAUCCAAGCGUUAUCCGGAAUCAUUGGGUUUAAAGGGUCCGUAGGCGGUUUAAUAAGUCAGUGGUGAAAGCCCAUCGCUCAACGAUGGAACGGCCAUUGAUACUGUUAGACUUGAAUUACAAGGAAGUAACUAGAAUAUGUAGUGUAGCGGUGAAAUGCUUAGAUAUUACAUGGAAUACCAAUUGCGAAGGCAGGUUACUACUUGUGGAUUGACGCUGAUGGACGAAAGCGUGGGGAGCGAACAGGAUUAGAUACCCGAGUAGUCC